AUUGAACGCUGGCGGCAGGCCUAACACAUGCAAGUCGAGCGGACAGAGGGAGCUUUCUCCUGGCUUCCGCGGCGGACGGGUGAGUAAUGCCCAGGAAUCUGCCUGGCCGUGGGGGAUAACGUCCGGACACGGGCGCUAAUACCGCAUCCGUCCUGAUGUUGAACGUGGGGGAUCUUUGGACAUCACCCUAUCAGAUGAGCCUAGGUCGGAUUAGCUAGUUGGUGGGGUAAAGGCCUACCAAGGCGACGAUCCGUAACUGGUCUGAGAGGAUGAUCAGUCACACUGGAACUGAGACACGGUCCAGACUCCUACGGGAGGCAGCAGUAGGGAAUAUUGGGCAAUGGGCGAAAGCCUGAUCCAGCCAUGCCGCGUGUGUGAAGAAGGUCUUCGGAUUGUAAAGCACUGUUAGUUGGGAGGAAGGGCAGUAAGUUAAUACCUUGCUGUUUUGACGGUACCAACAGAAUAAGCACCGGCUAACUUCGUG
rnacentral:rRNA from 1 species